rnacentral:rRNA from 1 species
CCUACGGGUGGCAGCAGUGAGGAAUAUUGGUCAAUGGCCGCAGGGCUGAACCAGCCAAGUCGCGUGAGGGAUGACGGUCCUAUGGAUUGUAAACCUCUUUUGUCAGGGAGCAAAGGGCGCCACGUGUGGCGUUUUGCGAGUACCUGAAGAAAAAGCAUCGGCUAACUCCGUGCCAGCAGCCGCGGUAAUACGGAGGAUGCGAGCGUUAUCCGGAUUUAUUGGGUUUAAAGGGUGCGCAGGCGGAAUGUCAAGUCAGCGGUAAAAUUUCGGGGCUCAACCCCGUCGUGCCGUUGAAACUGGCAGUCUUGAGUACAGUAGAGGUGGGCGGAAUUCGUGGUGUAGCGGUGAAAUGCUUAGAUAUCACGAAGAACUCCGAUUGCGAAGGCAGCUCACUGGACUGCAACUGACACUGAUGCUCGAAAGUGUGGGUAUCAAACAGGAUUAGAUACCCCAGUAGUC